AGGCUGCAGUGAAUUCUACAAAGAGGCUAUGGGAAAGAAACCUGGAAAGUACCCUUGGCUGUGUACAUUUGAGUAAAGAGAGCACUAUAAAAUCAAAAACCAAUGAAAUGGUUUCCAGAACACAGAACUAUUAAGCUUAAGAAAAGGACAGAAGGAACUGAAGAGAGAGGAACUGUUUUGGAGCAUCACACUUCCACCUCAGAAGAAAUAAGGAAGGAAGGAGGAGGGUGUUCCCACGGCUCUUCAACCAGGCCGGCUCUUCAGCCUACAUCCCCAUCUCAUCAAGUAAAAGGGAUUUUUCAACUGGACCAACCAGAUGGUUUAACAGUGCACUCCCACACCAUUCAACUACGCAAGGGAGAUACACUUAACAUAUGCAGUCGUAUAACACCUACUAACAUUUUCAAACAUUAAACCUUUAAAAAAGAGUUCUAAAGAAAUAGAAGCUUGAAGUAUCAUCUCUCAAGUAUAUAGACACUACUUCAUGGUGUGGUAAUAUAUGCAUAUAGAAGCUAGUAAACACCUCCAGGAGAUGCAAAAGGAAUUAGAACUGCCACAAGGUGCAAGCAAAACCUUGAGUUCUGUUUUUCCUCUUCUAAUCCUUCACCCAUCUGAGCUAAAGUCUAGACCUAAGGAGGCUACUAAUUCAGGGAUCGAGUAAUCUGCCAAGCAAGAGUUUAUUCAAGCACAGUUUGAAAUAAAGGUUUCAAAUGCAUAGCCUGUCGAUACUUUGGAAGGAUUCUCAUCAUAACGAGAUAUGGGAGGACACCUGAGACGGCAGGCCAGAAGUCACUCAGUAGGAGAAACAUCCGUUAGAAGUAAUAAUGUGGGAUUGCUGAAGUAAAGACUAUAGGAAGAAAAAAGUGUCUGUGUGUAGGAAACGGAAAGGGAGAGAAAAAUACACUGAGAUGGUAAAGUAAGGAAGUGGAAGAUCAGCAGAAUGUGCAGAUGCCAAGCCAUCCAAGAAAAUCAUCUCUUGUGAUUGUUGCGAAGUCAACUAGCUAAUGUGACUCACUGCUAGGCUGUUGGAUCUGAGACUUAUGUGGGAUAAUUUAGAAACUUGCUAGUGUCUUAAGAUCAAUUACUCACCAAUGAGAGUGGCAUUGAACUGUGAAUGUUCCUCCUAGAUUUUCCAUGAAGACUAAUGGUUUUGUCUUGUCUUGAAUUUGUUUUAAUUACAAUUUGUAUACAUCCUGUUCCACCCUGAAAUUUUUAUUUUCCAAAUGGUUUUUCAUUUAAAGAGACUAAAUAAAGGUUCUGACUGAGUUGUACUUGUGGGAACUCCAAAAUCUUUUUAUAGGAAGCUAUUUUCAUCAAAUAGUGUUGAGAAUCAAGUUUCCAGUUGGAGAAAAUAACAGAGACAUGCAAAUUCAGGAUGUAGCUGUACAGCAAUGUUAGUGAAGAGAGAAAAUUUUGAGUCAUUUAGACAUUAACCAUUAAGCAUCUGGAUUUUUUUAAAUGUUAAGACAGAAAAAAAUACCUGUAUGUCAACCAAAAUUUUAUUUAAUUUAGUGAACUGUGAUAGGGACUCCUCUCUGCUCAUCCAAAUCCAGGUUUUCUUCUGCUCCUGGACACAUAAGCAGGGUAUGUGUUGCAGUUAGCUGUGGCCAGGACAUUGGACUUGUGGUCAAUGGAAUAUGCACAAGAAGAGAUGUGCGAUAUUUCCAAGCCUGACUCCCUAAACAGUAAAUACUUUCGAGUCAUAA
ensembl:lncRNA LINC00343 long intergenic non-protein coding RNA 343